rnacentral:misc_RNA from 1 species
UUCUAAGCUUGCCAAGUGGAUUUUUUCUCCUUCCCACCUCGCCAUCAAUAUCAGAGCUAUCCUCAUGCUGUCUACUUGUUUUCACAUGCUGCUUCACCUCCUGAGUUCUAUGCUUAGAUAAGUCCAAAUCAAGGUUAGGAUCAUCAUCAGAAUCAUGCCUCCUAUGAAUUUUCUCAUACUUUCCAACCUCUUGAUUGGAAAAACCCAUUCUAACAUCAUCAUCAUCAAUCAUGGAAUCAUCUACAUCAUUACGAUGUCUUUCACUUCUCUUGUACUUCUCUGAAGUUC